rnacentral:rRNA from 1 species
AUUGAACGCUGGCGGCAGGCCUAACACAUGCAAGUCGAACGGUAACAGGAAGCAGCUUGCUGCUUCGCUGACGAGUGGCGGACGGGUGAGUAAUGUCUGGGAAGCUGCCUGAUGGAGGGGGAUAACUACUGGAAACGGUAGCUAAUACCGCAUAAUGUCGCAAGACCAAAGAGGGGGACCUUCGGGCCUCUUGCCAUCGGAUGUGCCCAGAUUGGAUUAGCUUGUUGGUGGGGUAACGGCUCACCAAGGCGACGAUCCCUAGCUGGUCUGAGAGGAUGACCAGCCACACUGGAACUGAGACACGGUCCAGACUCCUACGGGAGGCAGCAGUGGGGAAUAUUGCACAAUGGGCGCAAGCCUGAUGCAGCCAUGCCGCGUGUAUGAAGAAGGCCUUCGGGUUGUAAAGUACUUUCAGCGGGGAGGAAGGGAGUAGAGUUAAUACCUUUGCUCAUUGACGUUACCCGCAGAAGAAGCACCGGCUAACUCCGUG